rnacentral:sRNA from 1 species
UCCCAGGGUGGCGCCCCGGCGAGCAAGCAC